UUAGAAAAUAAGGGAACACAGAAUAAAUGUGUAAAAACCAUGGAGCUAUGAAAUGUGUUCAAAGUAUUAAAAUUUCAAAGAACUUAUUGUGUUAAAAUUGGGAUUUUUUACCAUGAGGAGCGACAUCGCAAAAGGAUACUCGGGGUUUGCUAAAUUACGGAAAAAUUAAUCACACUUACGUACCCCGAAAAUUUAACCACAUAGGUAAAAAUGUCUCAGCUUCGAAACAAGCCAUCAUACAUAUACAAGUUUACGAUAUGGGCUGAGCAACAGAAGAAAACGUUACCAUUACGGCCUAUGGAAUAACAAUUGUGCAUAUUGCCCCAUCUUGUGAGAAAGGAUCCAGAGAUGUCUUAAGCUAAUUUCACCUUGUACACCACAGAAACUUGUUAAAAUGAUGUUCCAGACAUAUCAUUACUUUUAAAUAUGAGAUGACAAACUAAAGGUUUUAAAAAGUCCUGAAUAACUGAAAUGGACAAAAAUACACAGAUUUAUUCAGAAUGUCAUACCGAUGAAGAUCACCUAAAAAUAUUUGGAAAAAUCAGAACUAUAGAUUUCAAUAUGGGACAAUACCCCUUAUGCGCCUUGAAAUGAUGAACACAAAAGUCACGUGUAAACAAAAAAUCUCUGUGUAGUGAUAUUUGACACAUUUCUAUGAUAAACAAAUAACUAAGCUGAACCAUUAGUGUUAAUUUAGAAAAUAAGGGAACACAGAAUAAAUGUGUAAAAACCAUGGAGCUAUGAAAUGUGUUCAAAGUAUUAAAAUUUCAAAGAACUUAUUGUGUUAAAAUUGGGAUUUUUUACCAUGAGGAGCGACAUCGCAAAAGGAUACUCGGGGUUUGCUAAAUUACGGAAAAAUUAAUCACACUUCGUACCCCGAAAAUUUAACCACAUAGGUAAAAAUGUCUCAGCUUCGAAACAAGCCAUCAUACAUAUACAAGUUUACGAUAUGGGCUGAGCAACAGAAGAAAACGUUACCAUUACGGCCUAUGGAAUAACAAUUGUGCAUAUUGCCCCAUCUUGUGAGAAAGGAUCCAGAGAUGUCUUAAGCUAAUUUCACCUUGUACACCACAGAAACUUGUUAAAAUGAUGUUCCAGACAUAUCAUUACUUUUAAAUAUGAGAUGACAAACUAAAGGUUUUAAAAAGUCCUGAAUAACUGAAAUGGACAAAAAUACACAGAUUUAUUCAGAAUGUCAUACCGAUGAAGAUCACCUAAAAAUAUUUGGAAAAAUCAGAACUAUAGAUUUCAAUAUGGGACAAUACCCCUUAUGCGCCUUGAAAUGAGGAACACAAAAGUCACGUGUAAACAAAAAAUCUCUGUGUAGUGAUAUUUGACACAUUUCUAUGAUAAACAAAUAACUAAGCUGAACCAUUAGUGUUAAUUUAGAAAAUAAGGGAACACAGAAUAAAUGUGUAAAAACCAUGGAGCUAUGAAAUGUGUUCAAAGUAUUAAAAUUUCAAAGAACUUAUUGUGUUAAAAUUGGGAUUUUUUACCAUGAGGAGCGACAUCGCAAAAGGAUACUCGGGGUUUGCUAAAUUACGGAAAAAUUAAUCACACUUCGUACCCCGAAAAUUUAACCACAUAGGUAAAAAUGUCUCAGCUUCGAAACAAGCCAUCAUACAUAUACAAGUUUACGAUAUGGGCUGAGCAACAGAAGAAAACGUUACCAUUACGGCCUAUGGAAUAACAAUUGUGCAUAUUGCCCCAUCUUGUGAGAAAGGAUCCAGAGAUGUCUUAAGCUAAUUUCACCUUGUACACCACAGAAACUUGUUAAAAUGAUGUUCCAGACAUAUCAUUACUUUUAAAUAUGAGAUGACAAACUAAAGGUUUUAAAAAGUCCUGAAUAACUGAAAUGGACAAAAAUACACAGAUUUAUUCAGAAUGUCAUACCGAUGAAGAUCACCUAAAAAUAUUUGGAAAAAUCAGAACUAUAGAUUUCAAUAUGGGACAAUACCCCUUAUGCGCCUUGAAAUGAGGAACACAAAAGUCACGUGUAAACAAAAAAUCUCUGUGUAGUGAUAUUUGACACAUUUCUAUGAUAAACAA